CAACUAUUAUUUCCAAUUUGUGUAUCAACUGAAUUGGUUUUGACCGCCAUUUCAGUCUUUCCAAUAGAAGGUUCCUUGACUAAUUUCACAACCUUAAUUAGCUUGGUCAAAUGCAGCCGACUUCAUUAUUUUACAUGUGAAUUUGCAGCCCUUCUGCCAUUAUAUUAUUGUUAUUUUGUCAAAUUAGUUAUCCUUCCUCUUCCGUUAUAUGUAAGCUACCUCCAAAUGCUCUCUCCUUUUUCUCUCGUCACUCUCCCUCUUUCUCUGCAAAUGAAACCCCAUUUCUUCCUUACCUUGUCUUUGAUUUUCAUCAUUACUAUAGUCUUCCUCUGCCCUCCUCCGUCUGUGCUUGCUAGUGAUGCGCAAUAUCAAAACUGCAGCACAACAUUUCGGUGCGGAAAUAUUACAAACAUUGGCUAUCCUUUCUGGGGUUCGAACCGACCCGAUUAUUGUGGCAACCCCAACUUCUUGCUUAAUUGCACUGAGCAAGCUGCCGAGAUCACCAUCAAGAAUUUAACUUACCAAGUUCUUGAAAUCGAUAGCCAGGCAAAGUAUCUUAAGGUUGCUAGAAAAGAUUAUAUAGGAGACAUCUGUCCUAACCUCCUCAUCAACACCACUUUGGACUUCGUCCAUUUCAGCUAUGCUUCGGAUGAUAUUCGGAAUAUAACUUUAUACUAUGGUUGCUCCACGUCUUUUACCCCAACUACCAUUCCAUGGAUUUCCACUCAGUUUACUUGUGACUUAAAUGGCAGCAGUAGCAAAGGUUUUUACUCGACAAGGAACAUUGACUUGAGUAAUUCUACAAUAAUCAAUUUAUUGGGGUCGUGCAACAAUAGUGUUAUCGUUCCAGCAACUCAAUCAGCUGUUGAGACUUUAGAGAAUAAUAUAACCGAGGAGAAUUUGGUUAUAGCUCUGGAGAAAGGUUUCGGAUUACAGUGGGAAGCAAACAAUCCCGUUUGCGAGACGUGUACACUUUCCGGUGGGACAUGUGGUUACAACACAACUACUAAUUCAUUUGCUUGUUAUUGCACUGAUCAGCCUGCUGAUCAGUUUAGUUGUAGAGAAUCUACAACAAAUAAUCCAUCUGAAUCAUCAGGGGGAAAAUCUAGCAAAGUUGGACUUGGAGUAGGACUUGGCAUAGCAGGUGCAGCAGCUGUUGGCAUUGGUUUGGGGUGUUGGUUCUUGCUCAUCAUACAACGCAGGAAAAGAAUUGCUACCCAAACACAGAGUGGAGACCUGCCUACAGCUCCAGCAAGCAAAGGCCACCCUGCUUCCACAAUUAAUUUCUCUCAAACCACCCCUUCUUAUCCCUCCUCAAAGUCUGACCUUGAAAAGGGAAGUACCUACUUUGGAACUCAGGUAUUCAGCUAUGAGGAACUUGUGGAAGCCACGGACAAUUUCGAUCCUUCCAAGGAACUAGGAGAUGGGGGCUUUGGCACUGUUUACUACGGUAUUCUCAAGGAUGGGCGUGUGGUCGCUGUCAAGCGCCUCUUUGAGAACAACAUGAAGCGUGCUGAGCAGUUCAUGAAUGAAAUUGAGAUCCUAACUCGUUUACGACACAAGAGCCUUGUGGCACUCUAUGGAUGUACUUCAAAACGCAGCCAAGAGCUGAUCCUUGUUUAUGAGUAUGUACCUAAUGGAACUGUUGCUGAUCAUCUUCAUGGAAAACAGUCCAAGUCUGGUUUGCUCAGUUGGCCUGUUCGGUUGAGCAUUGCCAUAGAGACAGCCGAUGCUCUUGCUUAUCUCCAUGCUUCAGAUGUCAUACACCGUGAUGUCAAAACCAACAAUAUUCUGCUAGACAACAACUUCCGUGUGAAAGUGGCUGAUUUCGGAUUGUCACGGCUGUUCCCUAAUGAUGUAAGCCAUAUCUCAACUGCUCCACAAGGCACACCUGGCUAUGUCGAUCCAGAGUAUUAUCAGUGCUAUCAACUCACAGACAAAAGUGACGUUUACAGCUUUGGUGUGGUGCUGAUCGAGCUGAUAUCAUCAUUACCGGCAGUGGACACCAAUAGACAGAAGUUUGACAUUAAUUUGGCCAACAUGGCAGUCAACAAAAUCCAAAAUCAUGCAAUAAAUGAGUUAGUAGAUCCGUGUCUUGGGUUCAAAAAGGAUUAUGCAGUGAGGAAGAUGGCAACUUCAGUUGCAGAAUUGGCUUUCCGAUGCUUGCAACAGGAGAGAGAUAUGAGGCCAACUAUGAGAGAAGUCUUAGAGGCACUCAAAAAAAUUGAGAAAGAAACUUACGAAUCAGAGAAAUCAGAGGUUCUUGAUAUUAAGGAGGAUGAUGUUGGGCUUUUGAAUCAUGUCCCUCCAUUUUCUCCAGACUCAAUUGAGAUGACUGACAAAUGGGGGAAGAUGAUGAGAACACUGUGACCUGAGUUCUGGCGGGCUAGGACGCUGUAUUUUUAAGUAAUUCUGGUAAAUGGGAUUCAAGUUUUGUGAUAUCCAGAGCAUUGCUCAUAUAACUUUCAGCCUAGUCUUCAACCACAUUUGCUCUUUUCCUCAAUAAAUAGCUCUACAAGGCACCAAUAUUCCUGAGUCAUGGGAACCCGUCCUUCUUGCUUGUCUGGGAUGCAGCAUUUGGGAGGUGUAUGAUAUUUUUUUUUUCUUCUUUUUUGAGCCCACAAGUUUUUGAAUCUGUAUAUAAAUGUGAUUAACUAAUUUUAUCGAAUUUGUAGCUUGAUGUCAGGAAGAUUCUGUUACAUUCUCAUACCUGUCCGUCGAUUGAUAUGAUUCUGUACUUUACAAUAUUUUCCCUAUUUGUUUUCCGCUCAUCCAAAUAAAAGUAAGUAGAAAAUAAAAUUAUGUUUUCCUCCCAUUUAUUUUCCUUAGCCAAACAUGGUGUAAGCUGUUGAAAGAAGUUUCUGCAUGGCCGCUGCCGCCUCUUGAGACUAGGGCAAUGCAAAAUAGACAUUGACUAAGAAGGCUAACAGCACACAUCUCUAAUAUGGAAUUGUUCUAACGAGGUUGGACCAUUGAUGGCAAGGGCUUUAAAAGUGGGAACAUAUAUGAAAUUGAAUGUAAUGUAAAUAAUUUUUUUACUACACUUGCAGCAUUUUGAAUGCCUACAAGCAAAUAUUAUUAAUAAGAAGGAUUGCAAAUUUUUAUUAUUAAUUAAAGCGGUACUAAAGCUUAAACAAAUUUUGUUUAUAAUUAUCCUUAAAGCAAACACAAAUUUGAUUUUCAAUACUUUGAUGGGCUUAUUCGGCAAAAGUUACAAAUUCCCCACACUGUGCCACGUGUGAACCACCCAAUAAGAACUCCCAAGACCCAUCCGAAAAGACACAAAACAUCACAGAGACCCAUCCUUCAAUAUUCCAAACCCGCUUUUAUUCCCCAGUCGCUGCCUUUUAUUUUCCAAUCAAAAUUUACAAUUUCCAAAUCAGAAUCAGAUGGGCAUUUCGUUAAUCUCUCUCAGAUCUCACUUCCUCUGCUAAUCACACUCUGAAUUCACAGAUUCAAUGACAACUCUUCACAAAUUCAAGCUUCUCGCCACUCAAUGUGCAGUAACCGGAAGCCCUACGCAAAGUCCCACAACUAGCCCCGUCAUCCACCUCCGCCGCCGCAAGACACUCCGCAUGCUUCUCUCCCGCUCUGCUGAACACCAACGCCGCCGGAUUCCCCGAGGUGAUGACCAGUCUGAACUCCAGAAGGGUCCUCCAGAGAAGAAGAGAGUUAGGAGGAAAUUGAAGGACUUGUUCGUGUCAUCUCCGCCGUUUGAAGAUAAAGAGAAGGAUAAUCCGGAUGAUGCAGUAGAGUUAUUACCGGUUUCCGGUGGUGGCAGCGGUGGCGGUGGAGAUGGAGGUUUGGCUGCUCGGCGCGCUGGAGGUAGUUCGCUAAGACCGCUAUCUGGUACGUUUAGAUAUAGGCUACUCAGAAGAGCUUGGCGACCGAUGCUUGUAACCAUCCCCGACUUCCAUGUGUCGAUGCUCAGGAUGUUCCAUGAUUGUGUUGAGGAUUUUAUGGGGUUGGCAAAGGAUGCUGUGUAUCUCUUGUGUAUAUCUUCUAAAUUAUUGUAAUACCCUGAAAUCUUAAUGAGGGUAUACAUACAUUUUGUGUCAUUAUUAAUGCACUCCCACAUUUCCCAAUUUUGGGGGUUUAAAUGAUGUUCAUCAUUUCACACAAAGUUAAUUUGUAAUCAUAGUCUUUGAAUUUGGGGUUGUAGAGAA